GAAAGGUUUUCAUUGGCUGAAUACAGAAAUACCAGGAGAAAAGCUUUCCAGAACACAACUGCAUUCAUCUUCAAUUAAUGGUGAAACAGUCUACAUUAUUGCCUAUUCCUCCUGCAUAGUUCUCAUCCUAGGAAUAGUCCUGUUGACUCUCCUAAAGAUCAGAGCCUGCAGAACAAAACACGAGUCAAGAAGUCCCUCACCAGAUCAUUCUUCUGAAACAUUUAUGGUCCAUUAUAAAAGUCACAGAUGAAUUACUUUGUUGCUUAUGCUUUUUAAGGCUACUCUUGAAAGCCAGCCUGUUGUACAUAUGCGGUAAUAAAAUAUAUAAUAGAAAACUUACUAUAAAUUACGUAAUUUUGUAGUUGUGCAUAGAGAAGAUUUUUCUAUUUAUUAACACAUUAAAACUUUCACAAGCUAAAAAAAAAACAACAAACAAGCAUAUUUUUGCGUAGAUUCAUAGAUCUGUCCUGAGAUAUACAUUUGCUAUAUCCUCAGACUCACGUGACUGAUUUUAAUGCUGUAUCAGCACGAGUCUGGCUUUGCAAUGUGUCUUGUGGAGCAAACUACGAGAGCCACUCUACAGAUGUGAAUUUAUCAGGCAGAAAGGAAAAAGAUCCACUCGGAAACAUUUCAGAGAGCAGUUAGAAAGCAUAUAUGUGGGGAUUUAGGACUCCAGGUUUCCUCUAUGUACCCAAUGGGCUUUCUAUGAGGCAGCACACAUGGGAAGGUGGCCUGCAGUUUGAUUGUGGAGCACUCAGUAGGGUAGAGGAAGAUCAGGAUUACAGCCUCUGUCAGUGCGAAGAGGAAUUAAACUGGGUGCCUGGGUGGAUGUUUUGACUAGCACGUUGUUGUUGAAACUGGUUAUUCCUUCCUUUCCAAGAUGCUUCAGAAAGACAUGAAAGAACUUUGCCAGUCUGAAAACAACAAUUUUAGAAAACAUUCUGUGGUCUGAAUUCCCAGUGGCAAAAAAACACUUGAUGGGGGAUGAAGUAAAAUGCCUGUUUCUUGAGAGAUCAGAUACAACCUCUCCAUCCCUGUUUCAUAUUCAUUGUCUCUAGGCCAUACUCGAAGUGCCUAAUUCUCCCUGUGCACUGUACUGGGAGUCAUGGUCCCUAACACACCAUUCUGGAUCCCACUUUGUGGUGAUGAGUUCUGGAUUUCUCCUUGUAGCUGAGUUGUUUCAUUAGACUAAGCUUCUGUUCACUAGAAAUUGAUUAUCUUUGUUGUGUUUUUGUAACAAUCAGGUUCUGAUCAGCACAAAGUAACAGACUGGCAUUUCUUGUUUUGCUAUCACCACAAGCAGCAUAUAUCUUAUCUUUUCAUGAUAAUAUCCAACACAAUUUUCUAAUUAGCUUAUACUAAGAUGUUAGGAACUCUUCAUACGUGUGCUUAGACACACAAACUCUCACACACAGGAGUACGUAAAAUGCAUUUGAAACUGGAGUAAGCAUGUGGGUUAUUCUGAAAGACUGCAAGAUAUUGAGUGGAUACUGUGUACGUACUGUAUAUGUGGAAUUUGAUGUGCUCUGUUCAUUAGAACUAACUUUAAUGCUUAAAAGAAAAGUAAAUUUCCUCCAUUACAACAUGU